AGGCUUGUAGCUCAGGUGGUUAGAGCGCACACCCUGAUAAGGGUGAGGUCGGUGGUUCAAGUCCCUCCAGGCCUACCA
rnacentral:tRNA from 1 species